AUACAUGCAAGUCGAGCGGACAGAUGGGAGCUUGCUCCCUGAUGUUAGCGGCGGACGGGUGAGUAACACGUGGGUAACCUGCCUGUAAGACUGGGAUAACUCCGGGAAACCGGGGCUAAUACCGGAUGCUUGUUUGAACCGCAUGGUUCAAACAUAAAAGGUGGCUUCGGCUACCACUUACAGAUGGACCCGCGGCGCAUUAGCUAGUUGGUGAGGUAAUGGCUCACCAAGGCGACGAUGCGUAGCCGACCUGAGAGGGUGAUCGGCCACACUGGGACUGAGACACGGCCCAAACUCCUACGGGAGGCAGCAGUAGGGAAUCUUCCGCAAUGGACGAAAGUCUGACGGAGCAACGCCGCGUGAGUGAUGAAGGUUUUCGGAUCGUAAAGCUCUGUUGUUAGGGAAGAACAAGUACCGUUCGAAUAGGGCGGUACCUUGACGGUACCUAACCAGAAAGCCACGGCUAACUACGUGCCAGCAGCCGCGGUAAUACGUAGGUGGCAAGCGUUGUCCGGAAUUAUUGGGCGUAAAGGGCUCGCAGGCGGUUUCUUAAGUCUGAUGUGAAAGCCCCCGGCUCAACCGGGGAGGGUCAUUGGAAACUGGGGAACUUGAGUGCAGAAGAGGGAGAGUGGAAUUUCACGUGUAGCGGUGAAAUGCGUAGAGAUGUGGAGGAACACCAGUGGCGAAGGCGACUCUCUGGUCUGUAACUGACGCUGAGGAGCGAAAGCGUGGGGAGCGAACAGGAUUAGAUACCCUGGUAGUCCACGCCGUAAACGAUGAGUGCUAAGUGUUAGGGGGUUUCCGCCCCUUAGUGCUGCAGCUAACGCAUUAAGCACUCCGCCUGGGGAGUACGGUCGCAAGACUGAAACUCAAAGGAAUUGACGGGGGCCCGCACAAGCGGUGGAGCAUGUGGUUUAAUUCGAAGCAACGCGAAGAACCUUACCAGGUCUUGACAUCCUCUGACAAUCCUAGAGAUAGGACGUCCCCUUCGGGGGCAGAGUGACAGGUGGUGCAUGGUUGUCGUCAGCUCGUGUCGUGAGAUGUUGGGUUAAGUCCCGCAACGAGCGCAACCCUUGAUCUUAGUUGCCAGCAUUCAGUUGGGCACUCUAAGGUGACUGCCGGUGACAAACCGGAGGAAGGUGGGGAUGACGUCAAAUCAUCAUGCCCCUUAUGACCUGGGCUACACACGUGCUACAAUGGACAGAACAAAGGGCAGCGAAACCGCGAGGUUAAGCCAAUCCCACAAAUCUGUUCUCAGUUCGGAUCGCAGUCUGCAACUCGACUGCGUGAAGCUGGAAUCGCUAGUAAUCGCGGAUCAGCAUGCCGCGGUGAAUACGUUCCCGGGCCUUGUACACACCGCCCGUCACACCACGAGAGUUUGUAACACCCGAAGUCGGUGAGGUAACCUUUAGGAGCCAGCC
rnacentral:rRNA from 1 species